rnacentral:rRNA from 1 species
CACGUAGGGCGCAAGCGUUGUCCGGAAUUAUUGGGCGUAAAGAGCUCGUAGGCGGUCUGUUGCGUCGGCUGUGAAAACUCGGGGCUUAACCCCGAGCCUGCAGUGGAUACGGGCAGACUAGAGGUAGGUAGGGGAGAAUGGAAUUCCCGGUGUAGCGGUGAAAUGCGCAGAUAUCGGGAGGAACACCGGUGGCGAAGGCGGUUCUCUGGGCCUUACCUGACGCUGAGGAGCGAAAGCGUGGGGAGCGAACAGG